rnacentral:misc_RNA from 1 species
GCAAACUUGGUCAUUUAGAGGAAGUAAAAGUCGUAACAAGGUCUCCGUUGGUGAACCAGCGGAGGGAUCAUUACAGAAUCGCAAGAUCUCUGCUACCCUCGCGAACCUACCGAAACGUUGCCUCGGCGGUCGCCUGGCCUCCGCGCCGGGUCCGCCGGCGGCCCCAAACUCUGUCUCUGCAGUGUUGUCUCUGAGUUCAUUUACAAAUAUAUCAAAACUUUCAACAACGGAUCUCUUGGUUCUGGCAUCGAUGAAGAACGCAGC